AAAAAAACGAUGGGUUGACAGACAAAGUUGUAUAUUCCAAACAAAAGAAAAAGAUUGUGAAAAUUAUGAUAAUUCAACAUGUGUCAAAAGUUCAGGAGGAAGAUGAAAAUAUUUAGAGGAAAAGAAAAAAUGAAAACCUACCAAGAUUUUGUGACAGAAAGUGUGAUGAGAUCUCAGGUUGGAGACGGUAAUGAUACGCUUAUAGUGUGCCCCAGAUCGACAUAGUGUAGGAGGACGAAAGAAGCUAGAAUACUAAUGAA